UCACCUGGUGGGAACCUACCACGCCAAGGACAUAAGGUCCUGAAUUGAUGUCCUUUUUUUUUUCAAAAUAAUUCUUCUGCUCAAUGAGCAAGAAUUAUUUAGUUUGUACUGGACAUAAGGGGUGUCUUGAUAUUUGGUCGGCUCAAAUCAGUAUGUACGAUAUUUUUUUUUAUUUAAUUUUUUUUUGUUAGAUUUUUGAUUUGUUUUAACGGUCUCAUGUGAAUUAAUUUCAUUGCAUUGGAAUGGAACGUCGAUUACUUAGUUAGUAAUCGCAUAAGACAUUGCACAGUAACUGCGUUAUCGGUGGCAAGAAGAACCACACCGGGUUUUUUUUCUCGACGAUGAAAGGCUUCCUAACCCUACUCAUGUUCUGGGAUCUUUCUUUCUUAUUCACACGUCGAAGUAAUAAAGUCACUACCUUCAAUAAAAAGAAAAAAAAAAAAAAAAAAAGGAUACAUUGUGUAAGGUAUACUUCGUUGAAGUCGAACAUAUUAUAUAUACAUUUAUAUAAACGUGAACUGACUAAAGAAGUGAUUGUAUUUGGUUUAGAGGAAUUAUCUUGUUCCACGUGAUUAGUGUCCCAGUUAAAUAUUUCCUUAGGACUGGGAACCUAAUUUGAAUCCCCUCCAAUUUUCUGGAGAAAAUUUUAAGUUGGUCCUUAUUAAGAAUAUUUGGAGCACGUGACUACCCAUGGUAUUUGGUUUAGCUGAGGUUCCAUGAUUUUUGGGACUCAAAACAUCUUUCCAUACCGAUUGUUUUACGGCAAACAUUUUUUAUUGUUUGCUGGGAUUUUUUUUUUUUUUUUU